rnacentral:rRNA from 1 species
GGCGUGUACUGCUUGGCUGGGCCUUACUUCUUGGUGAGCCGGCGUGCCCUUUAUUGGUGUGCGUCGGGGAAACCAGGACUUUUACCUUGAGAAAAUUAGAGUGUUCAAAGCAGGCCUAUGCCUGAAUACAUUAGCAUGGAAUAAUAGAAUAGGACGUGCGGUUCUAUUUUGUUGGUUUCUAGAGUCGCCGUAAUGAUUAUAGGGACAGUUGGGGGCAUUGGUAUUGAGUCGCUAGAGGUGAAAUUCUUGGAUUGACUCAAGACCGACUAUUGCGAAAGCAUUUGCCAAGGAUGUUUUCAUUAAUCAAGAACGAAGGUUAGGGGAUCGAAAACGAUCAGAUACCGUUGUAGUCUUAACAGUAAACUAUGCCGACUAGGGAUCGGAUGACCUCAAAAUUGAUGUGUCAUUCGGCACCUUACGAGAAAUCAAAGUCUUUGGGUUUUGGGGGGAGUAUGGUCGCAAGGCUGAAACUUAAAGGAAUUGACGGAAGGGCACCACCAGGUGUGGAGCCUGCGGCUUAAUUUGACUCAACACGGGGAAACUCACCAGGUCCAGACAUAACUAGGAUUGACAGAUUGAUAGCUCUUUCAUGAUUUUAUGGGUGGUGGUGCAUGGCCGUUCUUAGUUGGUGGAGUGAUUUGUCUGGUUAAUUCCGAUAACGAACGAGACCUUAACCUGCUAAAUAGCCAGGCCGGCUUCGGCUGGUCUCUGGCUUCUUAGAGGGACUGUCAG